rnacentral:sRNA from 1 species
AUAUUUUUCAACAAAUUCAGAAGUGAGUAGAGAAUGCAUAGUAGCUGUCGGCAGAGGAGGAACCAGAAUCUCUCCAAAGAAAUUUCCUCAAACAGAAUUUCACACAGGGUAUUCCAUGGAGAAUGAGCCUGGAAUUGUCUCGCCAUUUAAACGAGUAUUCCUAAAAGGUGAAAAGAGUAGAGAUAAGAAAGCCCAUGAGAAGGUGACAGAGAGGCGCCCUCUGCACACUGUGGUGUUGUCAUUGCCUGAGCGCGUCGAGCCAGACAGACUGCUGAGCGACUAUAUUGAGAAGGAGGUAAAGAGAGCCCACCAGCUUCCGGGACACUUGACUCAGGAGCACGAUGCUGUGCUCAGCCUGUCUGCGUACAACGUCAAGCUGGCCUGGAGGGACGGGGAGGAUAUCAUCCUCAGGGUGCCCAUCCAUGACAUCGCCGCCGUCUCCUAUGUUCGGGAUGACGCUGCACACCUGGUGGUCCUGAAGACAGGUCGCUGCGGAGGAGCUUUGCUGUCUGCUAGGCCAGGUCUUCCAGGUUGUUUACACGGAGUCCACCAUCGACUUUCUGGACAGAGCGAUAUUUGAUGGGGCCUCUACCCCCACCCACCACCUGUCCCUGCACAGCGAUGACUCUUCUACAAAAGUGGACAUUAAGGAGACCUACGAGGUGGAAGCCAGCACUUUGUGAGUGUACAUGCCACCAAGCCCUGUGGUGGGACAUGCACCAAAUGCAUUGUCUGGUGUUGUCCAGGCUGCAGCCAGUCAGCUCCCCCAUCUCAGCUCACCCUCGCUAAGCCAUCCCCAGACCCACUGUCCCCAGCUUAGUGAAUGGCUGAGGCCUGGCUCGCCGCCCUCUCCUCAUAGACUUCUAGAGCCCUUGCUGUCCCUCUUGUCUCUCCCUGCCUACCUUCCCAUGGCCUCCCAAGAGUGAGCUUGUAUUAGGCAUGUUGGAUGGAGCUGUUCCCCUGCCCGAGCCUGCCGAGGCGCUGGCCUUCCAGCCCAUCUCUGCCACCGCCUGGGGCUCUGUAGUAGUUCACCCACUCGCGCUCUCCAUUCCUGCCACCUCC